rnacentral:rRNA from 1 species
UACGUAGGGGGCUAGCGUUGUCCGGAUUUAUUGGGCGUAAAGAGCGUGUAGGCGGCCAGGUAGGUCUGGUGUGAAAACUCGAGGCUUAACCUCGAGAUGUCGAUGGAAACCGUAUGGCUAGAGUCCGGAAGAGGAGAGUGGAAUUCCUGGUGUAGCGGUGAAAUGCGCAGAUAUCAGGAAGAACACCGGUGGCGAAGGCGGGUCUCUGGGCCGAUACUGACGCUGAGGAGCGAAAGCGUGGGGAGCGAACAGG